ensembl:lncRNA
GAGAGAGAGAGGGAGUGAAACAGAGAAAGAAGAGAGAGAAGAGAGAGGGAGUGAAACAGAGAAAGAAGAGAGAGAGAGAGGGAGUGAAACAGAGAAAGAAGAGAGAGAAGAGAGGGAAGAGAGAGAAGAGAGAGGGAGUGAAACAGAGAAAGAAGAGAGAGCAGAGAGAGAAGAGAGAGAAGAGAGAGAAGAGAGAGAAGAGAGAGAGAGGGAGAAGAGAGAGAAGAGAGAGGGAGUGAAACAGAGAAAGAGAAGAGAGAGAAGAGAGAGAAGAGAGAGAAGAGGGAGGGAAGAGAAGAGAGAGAAGAGAGAGAGAGGGGGUGAAACAGAGAGAGAAGAGAGGGAGGGAGUGAAACAGAGAAAGAGAAGAGAGAGAAGAGAGAGAGAGGGAGUGAAACAGAGAAAGAGAAGAGAGAGAGAGGGAGUGAAACAGAGAAAGAGAAGAGAGAGAAGAGAGAGAAGAGAGAGAAGAGGGAGGGAGUGAAACAGAGAAAGAGAAGAGAGAGAAGAGAGAGAAGAGGGAGGGAGUGAAACAGAGAGAGAAGAGAGAGAAGAGAGAGAGAGGGAGUGAAACAGAGAAAGAGAAGAGAGAGAAGAGAGAGAAGAGAGAGAGAGGGAGAGAAACAGAGAAAGAAGAGAGAGAAGAGAGAGAAGAGGGAGUGAAACAGAGAAAGAGAAGAGAGAAGAGGGA